AUACAAAGAGAUCCGGGCGAUGCGGGAUCAGAUCCAGCCGACGCCGGAAUUGCUCGAUCGAGCCGGCGCUGGCGAUCGGUAUGAUCGGUUGCACGGCGCGGAGGGACGGUGUGUGUUGGCUCGAUCCCUAAUCGUCGACUGAAGUUCUAUCGCCAAAGAUUGAUUGAUAGGUUAAUUGGCCAUUAAUAGCAAUCGAUGGAGUUGAAUUGUCAGUUGCUAUGUUGUGCGCGAUUGGAAUUCAUCUGCCGUCGUUAACGCAAGGAGUAGACCAGCCGUUACUACAGGCCAUUAAUGGAGUGGGUUGGAGGUGCGACGGGGGCCGAUGGUGGAGGUCAGUUACAACUUGGCUGCUCCGCCUACAUAUGCUCUGUGCAGUCACCCAGGCACUGCAGUCCAAGCCCUUGACUGAUUAUGGGUUCUUUGGCUCCAGAAUUCUUCGGCCGAGGAUCCCAAUGGCUGCUGGCCGGGUUAGUUCACAUGAAGUGACAUAUCCAAUCUCCAAUAUCCAAGUAUUUUUUCAUAUGAUUUGCUUUGUUCAAAUGAUGAUGUGGUCGUAAUGAUACAUGUCAUGCUGCUGCCGGCUAUUAUUGUUGUUGUAUAUGCAUCAGAUUAUUUUGGACCGUAGAUCCAUAUGGGCAAACAUAAGGAAAUUAUGUGGCUGUUCCAACACACUCUUAGUUCGUUUUCUAUCUGAUCAAAUGGCACAUUUAUUGCUUGUACAGAUCCUACAAUGGAAAAAUGGUUGCUGGAUGUCUCCAGCUUCUAUAGUAUGCUUGGUUAACGGCCUUUUGGAGCAAUUUGGAUAAUUUGCAGCAGAUCUGAAUUCAAUAUGAUGGGAUAUGGAUCAUGGGAACAGAGGACCUCCAUUGGGGAUGUUUGGUUCCUAGGAGCGGACAAUUCCAGAUUCGACUCCACAAUUGGUACCACCAUUUUGUGUUCUUAUGACUUGAGGAAGAUAGGGAGCAAUGAGUUUGGUCUUCUUAACUCACUUGCAAGUUUCUUGACCAAAACCUUAGUUGUCGACAAACUAAUCAUUGCCGUCGUAGGAAUUCCUUGAUUAAAUAACCUUUUUAGCUAUGAUUAAAUAACCUUUUUUGGACAAUAUCAAACAUAUCAUCUUGCGGGAAGCUACAUGGCACGUGCGUAUAACUUUCGAAGGGAAUUUUUUUUUGCCACUCUAGAUUUUGCCAAUUUUCCUUAUGCCCCGCUGCUUCAUGUCAACGAUGACUUGUAAGGCACUAUGAAUGCGCUGGUACAUAUUGAGUUUACUAGAUGAUGCCCCGCGCGUUGCUGCGGAAUUGGUUGCAAUAUAUUUCGGUGAAAUUUGAUUGUGUGGAAUAUAUAAAUUUUUAGAUUAACAACACAUGAACCAAAAUUUAAAAUACAUACGACUUAUUAUAUUUUAUAAAAUAUUUAUUGAAUAUAAGUUGACAAUAGAAUGAUAAUUAUUUUCACAUGCAUGGUUGCAUGUGGUGGUGGGUCUUGAUCAUGCAUGGUUGCAUGUUAAGGUGGGUUUUAUCCCAUCUAUAAUUGUAUGGUGAUGUGGCAUGCUUGCAUGUUAAGAUAAAUAGGUUAGUGGGGAUCAAUCUCUUAGGUAUAUAGGAUUAGUUCACCCUCUGUAGUGUCACUACGUUUUUGUACCAGCUUGUGGCAAAUAUUAUGUACUUUCAAUAUAGAAGACAUGAAAUUAUAGCAAUGUCAGUGUAUCAAACAUUUUCCGUUUCUUUCCGGUAUCAGUAUGUAUCGAAACAACAACAUUCAUAUUAUAUUAUACAGUUUGACUAAUUCACAUCUAAAUAUUUUUUAAGAAUUGUCACAUCUAAGCUCCCACAAAUAUAUAAUGCGGCAACAAGAAACAAAAAAAACUAGGACACAAAAAUAGACCACAAACAGAGUGGACAUGAGUAUGUCACAUCUAGAUGUGUUCUAGACAGAUCCUAUUUUAUAUUGAACAAAUAAACGGAUACAACAAACACAACAAAUGGAUAAUUGUUCAUGCCAAUUUAAAAAUAAAGUAAACACUCUAUAUAGUUGUACCAACAGCUAACAUUACAUUAUCAAAAUGGACGG